GGCAAGUAAUUUCUCUUUUCUUCCCCAGAAAGAGGAGGUUGGGCUCCAAGCUCUCCCGACACCCCCCGCACCCCGCGUGCUGGAAAGGAAUUAAUCUGGGAAGGAAGACACCCAGGAAAGUCGUCGUCCAAGGAGCUACUCCUAACUUCAUAAGCACGUGAGAAACAAGCCAAGCCAGCACCGUGGAGCUGAGGGAGUGACCUCAUGGCACGGAGAUGGCCACAUGCAGACGCGCUGCCGCUUUAAUUAAGGGAAAGCUUUUCCACGUGUUGAACUUCUAAGUGACUUGCUGCAGCCCCGAGGCCCUGUGGGAGCCUUGGAACCGGUGCCGGCCUGCCGCCUGCGGCCUCCUGCCACGGGUUCCCACUCGGAAGAACUGUGAGCCAUCACACGCAAUUCUGAAGUGGACGCAGGUCACUGGGAAUCUUUCUAGCAACCAUUCGUGCUCUUUCUGGACUCUCGCCUUGGUUGUCCCUUCUCACAGAGGCAGCUGGGAGGCGCCAGCUCGCGGUGACCAAACCAGCGGUUCCAGACUGGUGCUGUGCACGGGCUGGGCUGGAUCACAGCAGCAAGGAUUGUUGCUGCGUCUCACUCCUGAACCAUCUCAACAGAGCCCAAUAAGCUCCAGAAUAAUAAAAGUUUAGGAGGAAAUUAGUUUUCAGAUUAAAUGAAUUUGCUCUGAUGUUCAAUUUCCAGACAAUA